UACGGAGGGGGGCUAGCGUUGUUCGGAAUUACUGGGCGUAAAGCGCACGUAGGCGGCUUUGUAAGUUAGAGGUGAAAGCCCAGGGCUUAACCCUGGAAUUGCCUUUAAGACUGCAUCGCUAGAAUCGUGGAGAGGUGAGUGGAAUUCCGAGUGUAGAGGUGAAAUUCGUAGAUAUUCGGAAGAACACCAGUGGCGAAGGCGACUCACUGGCCCGAUACUGACGCUGAGGCGCGAAAGCGUGGGGAGCAAACAGG
rnacentral:rRNA from 1 species